CUUUAUAAAAAGUAGUAUUGAAGUCUUGCACCAUUUUGAAUCACUUUUUUUUGCAAAUAAUUGUAAUGAAAUGAAGUUUAUCUGUUGUAAUAAAAUUCAUUUGACAGGCUUUUUAUUUAAAUGAAGUAAAUAGACAACUUUAAAGUUCGAUGCAUCACCACCCAAAACUCUGGUUUUAGUGAACUGAUUCAUUCGUACCUUUAGGGGCAUCGUCACUUCCAUU
rnacentral:lncRNA from 1 species